AUUGAACGCUGGCGGCAGGCCUAACACAUGCAAGUCGAACGGCAGCGGGGAGUAGCUUGCUACUCCGCCGGCGAGUGGCGGACGGGUGAGUAAUGCAUGGGGAGCUGCCCAAUCGAGGGGGAUAACAGCUGGAAACGGCUGCUAAUACCGCAUACGCCCUCCGGGGGAAAGGUGGGGAUUUCGAACCUAUCGCGAUUGGAUGCACCCAUGUGGGAUUAGCUAGUUGGUGAGGUAACGGCUCACCAAGGCGACGAUCUCUAGCUGGUCUAAGAGGAUGACCAGCCACACUGGAACUGAGACACGGUCCAGACUCCUACGGGAGGCAGCAGUGGGGAAUAUUGCACAAUGGGGGAAACCCUGAUGCAGCCAUGCCGCGUGUGUGAAG
rnacentral:rRNA from 1 species